GACGAACCGUCCGAACGUUAUUCGGAAUUACUGGGCUUAAAGGGUGCGUAGGCGGCCCUGUAAGUCAGGUGUGAAAUCCCACGGCUCAACCGUGGAACUGCGCUUGAAACUACAGGGCUUGAGGGAGAUAGGGGUGAGCGGAACUGAUGGUGGAGCGGUGAAAUGCGUUGAUAUCAUCAGGAACACCGGUGGCGAAGGCGGCUCACUGGGUCUCUUCUGACGCUGAGGCACGAAAGCUAGGGGAGCGAACGGG
rnacentral:misc_RNA from 1 species